rnacentral:rRNA from 1 species
GAUGAACGCUAGCGACAGGCCUAACACAUGCAAGUCGAACGGCAGCACGGGGGCAACCCUGGUGGCGAGUGGCGAACGGGUGAGUAAUACAUCGGAACGUGCCCAGUCGUGGGGGAUAACGUAGCGAAAGCUACGCUAAUACCGCAUACGAUCUCUGGAUGAAAGCGGGGGACCGCAAGGCCUCGCGCGAUUGGAGCGGCCGAUGGCAGAUUAGGUAGUUGGUGGGGUAAAGGCUCACCAAGCCGACGAUCUGUAGCUGGUCUGAGAGGACGACCAGCCACACUGGGACUGAGACACGGCCCAGACUCCUACGGGAGGCAGCAGUGGGGAAUUUUGGACAAUGGGCGAAAGCCUGAUCCAGCCAUGCCGCGUGAGUGAAGAAGGCCCUCGGGUUGUAAAGCUCUUUUGUUGGGGAAGAAAAGCAGUUGGUUAAUACCCGAUUGUUCUGACGGUACCCAAAGAAUAAGCACCGGCUAACUUCGUG